rnacentral:rRNA from 1 species
AGCGAACGCUGGCGGCAGGCUUAACACAUGCAAGUCGAACGCCCCGCAAGGGGAGUGGCGGACGGGUGAGUAACACGUGGGAACGUACCCUUUGGUUCGGAAUAACUUGGGGAAACUCAAGCUAAUACCGGAUAAGCCCUUAUGGGGAAAGGUUUACUGCCGAAGGAUCGGCCCGCGUCUGAUUAGCUAGUUGGUGAGGUAAUGGCUCACCAAGGCGACGAUCAGUAGCUGGUCUGAGAGGAUGAUCAGCCACACUGGGACUGAGACACGGCCCAGACUCCUACGGGAGGCAGCAGUGGGGAAUAUUGGACAAUGGGGGCAACCCUGAUCCAGCCAUGCCGCGUGAGUGAUGAAGGCCUUAGGGUUGCAAAGCUCUUUUACCCGGGACGAUAAUGACUGUACCGGGAGAAUAAGCCCCGGCUAACUUCGUGCCAGCAGCCGCGGUAA